CUGAAAGAUGAUCAGGUUGAUAGGUCUGAGGUGGAAGUGUGGCGACACAUGGAGCUGACAGAUACUAAUCGAUCGAGGACUUAACCAUAUUU
rnacentral:rRNA from 1 species